CUCAGUAACGGCGAGUGAAGCGGCAACAGCCCAGAUUUGAAAUCUGGCCUUCGGGCCCGAGUUGUAAUCUGUAGAUGAGUCUUUGGGUUACGUGCCGUCCAAGUCCCCUGGAAUGGGGCGCCAUAGAGGGUGAGAGCCCCGUACCGACGUGCGCCGCGCCUGUUUAAAGCUCAUUCGAAGAGUCGAGUAGUUUGGAAAUGCUGCUCUAAUUGUGGGGUAAAUCUCCCAUAAGGCUAAAUACCGGCCAGAGACCGAUAGCGCACAAGUAGCGUGAGCGAAAGAUGAAAAGAGCCUUGAAUAAGGGCGUCAAAAAGUAUGUGAAAUUGUUGUGGGGGAAGCGCUUAGUGCCAGACGUGGCGGCGGUUGGUUACCCGGUGUUCUUCGCCGGCGCACUCUUCCGUCGCCAGGCCAGCAUCGGUUCGGCUUGGGGCUCAAUGUCGUAGGGAACGUGGCUCCUCGGAGUGUUAUAACCUUGCGGCGACGUCCCGGACCGGACCGAGGUUCGCGCAUCUGCUCGGAUGCUGGCGUAAUGGCCCUCAGCGACCCGUCUUGAAACACGGACCAAGGAGUUGACCUAGCACGCGAGUGUUUGGGUGUAAAGCCCUCACGCGCAGUGAAAGCGAACGCAGGUGGGAGCCUCGGCGCACCAUCGACCGAUCCUGAAGUUUACGGAUGGAUUUGAGUAGGAGCGUGUUGGGUCUGACCCGAAAGAAGGUGAACUAUGCAUGAAUAGGGUGAAGCCAGAGGAAACUCUGGUGGAGGCUCGCAGCGGUUCUGACGUGCAAAUCGAUCGUCAAAUUUGUGCAUGGGGGCGAAAGA
rnacentral:rRNA from 1 species